AUAAUACUCCCUCCAUCCGGAAUUACUUGUCAUCAAAAUGGAUGUGUCUAGAACUAAAAAUACAUCUAGAUACAUCCAUUUCAAUGACAAGUAUUUUUGGACGGAGGGAGUAGUAG
rnacentral:pre_miRNA from 1 species